AUUGAACGCUGGCGGCAGGCCUAACACAUGCAAGUCGAGCGGAUGAAGGGAGCUUGCCCCUGGAUUCAGCGGCGGACGGGUGAGUAAUGCCUAGGAAUCUGCCUGGUAGUGGGGGAUAACGUCCGGAAACGGGCGCUAAAACCGCAUACGUCCUGAGGGAGAAAGUGGGGGAUCUUCGGACCUCACGCUAUCAGAUGAGCCUAGGUCGGAUUAGCUAGUUGGUGGGGUAAAGGCCUACCAAGGCGACGAUCCGUAACUGGUCUGAGAGGAUGAUCAGUCACACUGGAACUGAGACACGGUCCAGACUCCUACGGGAGGCAGCAGUGGGGAAUAUUGGACAAUGGGCGAAAGCCUGAUCCAGCCAUGCCGCGUGUGUGAAGAAGGUCUUCGGAUUGUAAAGCACUUUAAGUUGGGAGGAAGGGCAGUAAGUUAAUACCUUGCUGUUUUGACGUUACCAACAGAAUAAGCACCGGCUAACUUCGUG
rnacentral:rRNA from 1 species